AUCAGCGUUAUCCAUUCGUUUGUUCAUCGCCGAAGCGUAAACACAUCUGGCAACUUACACGCGCGCGUACGUGAAAUUGUUUUUUAACGGUGCAAUAAUUCGUAAAAGUAGUUUUAUUUGUGUUAGCAACGUACGAAUAAGAACAAAAAAACAAAAAAUUAAGCGAAAACAAAUUUUUAACGAAAACAAUCGGGUUCUUGCAAAAUUAGCACAGCUGCUGAGAUCAACUGAGUCUGAAAUAAAAUUAAAAAAAAAUACGAACACCCAUAAAUCUUGCAAAAAUCCAACUUUUAAGAAUUCAACUAACGUUUGCUACCAAAAACUUUUCACAAUGUUGAAUAAUAAAGUCAGAUUGUUUGUGAUCUUUUUGCUUGCUAUCAUUUCCGUUGUGUGGCCAAGCACUCAAGCUGCUGAUGCAAACAAGCUUAAUGUCACCAUUUUGUAUGAAUCGUUAUGUCCGGAUAGCGUUAAUUUUAUGAUCAAGCAGUUAGCGCCAGCUUAUGAAAAACUCAAAGGAAACUUGAAUGUAAAUCUCGUACCGUUUGGAAAAUCACGUUCCGUCAACGGCGGCAGCCAAUUCUACUGUCAACAUGGACCACCAGAAUGCUCUGGGAAUCUUUUGCAGUCGUGCGUUUUGAAUCAGGAAAGCACACAGGACCAGCGAGUACGUUUCGCCAUCUGCCAAAUGAGGUCAAGAGAUAAGCAAAGUGUUGAGGAAUGCACCGAUUUGGUUGGCCUCAGCAGCGACAUCAGCGAUUGCGUUGAUACAAACUUGGGCAAGCAGUUGCAACUAUUGGCCGAGCAAGUGACCAACCAGUAUUCGCUGAAAUUUGUGCCAACAAUAAUUUAUGAUGGUGUUUUCAACCAACUGCUUCAGGAUGCAUCAUUUUUCGACUUCCACAGCACCGUUUGUGUGCUGCUGCAGAGACGUGGGGUUGCCGACGAGUCUUGCCAGUGAAUGAAAUGGUACAACGGCGAUUGAUGAGGGGAAUGACAGCAAAAAAAACUAAAUUGAUUAAAAAAAUUUGUCUAGUCUAGUAACUGUCAGAGACCAAGUUUUAUUAUUGGUUUUUAAAUACACAUCAGUCUUAUUGGAAGAAAAUAGUUGUGGAAUGUUGCUUUGCUGUCAACCGCGAACACCCAAUACCAUCUAUUCAAAGAGUAUCCAGAAUUUCUCAUUCAAGCAUACUGGGCCUGAGACAUUAGAGAUAUACUUAUGAUUUUACAUGGCAGAAAUACACUCGGAUGUUUGCCAUUGGCUGCCGAAGGGCGACUGCAAUUAGAAAAACUGUUUCUGUAAUUUUAAGUUUCGUGCCCGUGGCUGUGUAUGUGCAAUAUGUGUAUAUAUAAAUAUAAUUUUGGCAAAUUAGAACCCUUUAGAGGCAAGAAACUCUGUUCAGAUCGAAUAACUGAGAACUUGGAAUGAUCAAAAGAUUUAACAAGUCAACUUAAUAUACGGAAAAUAUUAUAA